UACGUAGGGGGCGAGCGUUGUCCGGAUUUACUGGGCGUAAAGCGCGUGUAGGCGGCCGCGUAAGUGGGGUGUGAAAGCCCGGGGCUCAACCCCGGGACGCCGCCCCAUACUGUGUGGCUUGAGGUCGGAAGAGGGGAGUGGAAUUCCUGGUGUAGCGGUGAAAUGCGUAGAGAUCAGGAGGAACACCCGUGGCGAAGGCGGCUCCCUGGUCCGAUUCUGACGCUGAGACGCGAAAGCGCGGGGAGCGAACGGG
rnacentral:rRNA from 1 species